rnacentral:rRNA from 1 species
GACGAACGCUGGCGGCGUGCUUAACACAUGCAAGUCGAACGAAGUGGCGAACGGGUGAGUAAUACGUGAGUAACCUGCCCUCCUCUUUGGGAUAAGCCUUGGAAACGGGGUCUAAUACCGAAUAAAGGGGGUUGGGCUCGCGGCCUAUCAGCUUGUUGGUGGGGUGAUGGCCUACCAAGGCGGUGACGGGUAGCCGGCCUGAGAGGGUGAACGGCGACAUUGGGACUGAGGUACGGCCCAGACACGUACGGGAGGCAGCAGUGGGGGAUAUUGCACAAUGGGCGAAAGCCUGAUGCGGCGACGCCGCGUGGGGGAUGAAGGCUUUCGGGUUGUAAACCUCUGUCGCUAUCGAACGGGUAGGUAGAGAAGAAGCGCCGGCUAACUACGUGCCAGCCGCCGCGGUAAUC